rnacentral:rRNA from 1 species
GACGAACGCUGGCGGCGUGCUUAACACAUGCAAGUCGAACGGUAAGGCCCUUCGGGGUACACGAGUGGCGAACGGGCGAGUAACACGUGGGUGAUCUGCCCUGCACUUCGGGAUAAGCCUGGGAAUCUGGGUCUAAUACCGGAUAGGACCACUGCCUGCAUGGGUGGUGGUGGAAAGCUUUUGCGGUGUGGGAUGGGCCCGCGGCCUAUCAGCUUGUUGGUGGGGUGAUGGCCUACCAAGGCGACGACGGGUAGCCGGCCUGAGAGGGUGACCGGCCACACUGGGACUGAGAUACGGCCCAGACUCCUACGGGAGGCAGCAGUGGGGAAUAUUGCACAAUGGGCGCAAGCCUGAUGCAGCGACGCCGCGUGAGGGAUGACGGCCUUCGGGUUGUAAACCUCUUUCAGCACCGACGAAGCGCAAGUGACGGUAGGUGCAGAAGAAGGACCGGCCAACUACGUGCCAGCCGCCGCAGUAA